UACGGAAGGCAGCAGUGGGGAAUAUUGCACAAUGGGCGAAAGCCUGAUGCAGCUAUGCCGCGUGUAUGAAGAAGGCCUUAGGGUUGUAAAGUACUUUCAUCGGGGAGGAAAAAACAAAACUAAUAAUUUUAUUUCUUGACGUUACCCGAAAAAGAAGCACCGGCUAACUCCGUGCCAGCAGCCGCGGUAAUACGGAGGGUGCUAGCGUUAAUCAGAAUUACUGGGCGUAAAGAGCACGUAGGUGGUUUUUUUAAGUCAGAUGUGAAAUCCCCGGGCUUAACCUGGGAAUGGCAUUCAAGACUGGUUAGCUAGAGUCUUGUAGAGGGGGUUAGAAUUCCAUGUGUAGCGGUGAAAUGCGUAGAGAUGUGGAGGAAUACCGGUGGCGAAGGCGGCCCCUGGGACAAAGACCUGACGCUCAUGUGCGAAAGCGUGGGGAGCAAACCAGGGAUUAGAUACCCGU
rnacentral:rRNA from 1 species